rnacentral:lncRNA from 10 species
GGUCGCUUCUCGCAGGCGGCGCGCUUGCUGGGUCACAGUGAGGCGGCUCCGCGCAGGCGCAGCCGGGCGGGCGAGGAGCGGGGAAGCUGACUCAGGGCUGCGGCCGGGGUCCUGCGGGGUAGGAGCGCGAGGCCGGCCUGAGGGAGGAGGCCUAGCGACCCAUCCGGCGCCUCCCGCCCCGGGCACCCGCCCGCGGCCGCGCAUCCUGCGGGCCCCAGGAGGCCUCCAUCUCAAAACAACGUGUUUUUAGAGAACUCAAGGGCUGUGAAAAGAGCAGGACCUCACCAGCUGCACGGCGGUGGUGACUGGCUCCAUCUUGCUGUCCCUCCCAAUCACACAACAUCUCCCCUUGAAGGCUCUGCCCAGGCCCGGACUCCCACCUUUCAAGAUGUCUGGAUCAGUGCAGGACCUCCUCCUUGGCCACAUCGCUCUCCUUGGACUGGCUGGAGUGCAAUGACUCGGUCUCGGCUCAUUGCAACCUCCGCCUUGCAGGUUCAAGUGAUUCUCCCACCUCAGCCUCCCAAGUAGGAUUACAGUGUUGACUCACCUGUGGAGUGGUCUGAGCCUGAAUGCCCGGGGCUGUGGCCACCGAGUGAACGGGCUGUGCUAAGGGGAAUUGCCACCUUGGGAAACCUGUGUAGUUGCGGCUUUUCUGAUUAAGUAUCAAUAAAAGUCUGACCUUGUGAAAAAAGCAAACGUGAGUGGCCCUGCUUAUGUUUCACCUUGCGUUGCUCAGUGAUAGUUCUGCAAAGUCGCAGGAAACCUGGAAUCAUCUAAUUAUCGUGAGUGUUGGCACAUGACAGCCUUCUUGCAAUCAAGAAACUACGUGUGGCCAGGAUCUCAUCCACUAUCACAGUUUCAGCUUUCCCCAAACUGGAAUGUGUCUUUGCAGACGCCCAUCCUUAUUAAAGGGCAAAGACUUCUCAUACACCUAGGAUGGAUCUUAUAUUCUUGGCGGGACUGCAGAGAAGGUGCCGUGUCCUGAGUCCUCAUGUCAGGGCACAGGCUUCCAGCCAGUUCUACCUGGGUUAUGUUUAUCUCAAUUCCCUGGUGGUAUUGGUGUCUGCUGGGUUUUGCCAGAAUGAAGACACCGUGUUUUCAUUUGUCAGUUGAUUCGUAUUUUCCAGGAAGACAUUCUGAGAUUACAGCAUUGUCUUAGUCAAGGUGCUGCAGAAGGACAGAACUAAUAGGAUAUAUGUACAUAUGAAAGAAAGUUUAUGAAGAACUGGCUCACACCAUCACAAGGCAAAGUCCCAUGACAGGCCAUCUGCAAGCUGAGGAGCGAGGAAGCCAGCAGUGGCUCAGCCGGAGUCCAACAGCCUCAAACGGAAUCCAACAGUUCAGGCUUCAGUCUGUGGCCAAAUGCCCAGAGACCCCGGAAAGCUACUGGUGUUAGUCCCAGAGCCGGAAGGCCAAAGAACCUGGAGUGUGAUGUCCAAGGGCAGGAGGAAUGGACAGAAGCAUCCAGCAUGGGGUAAAGACGAAAGCCAGAAGACUCAGCAAGCUAGCUUACCUACUUUCUUCUGCCUGCCUUGUUCUAGCCGCGCUGGCAGCCGGUUGGAGGGUGCCCACCCCCACUGAGGGUGGAUCUUCCUCUCCUAGUCCACUGACUCAAAUUUCAGUCUCUCUGGGAGCACCAUCACACCAGAAACAAUACCAGCCAUCUAGCCACCCUUCAGUUCACCAUCACAACCAUUGUCUUAUUCAUGAAACUUCUGCAGACCCACCUUAACCUCCAUCGGUGACUUCUACCUGAAGCCCUCUGAUUGUUGCCCAGUGGUGCUUUUUAAAAUAAUUUCCAUAGUUUCUUCUACACCUUUAGUUGGCAUUCUACUGUAAAGGAGAGAUUUUAUUUUCUUACUCAUUUAUUUGUUAGUUUAUAGUCACCACCAUAUGGAUGCAGAGUUCUGUCUCAUUCACUGGGAAGUAUUCUAUUGCAGUCAUGAUUUAUUUUGAUGUUCACAUCCCAGAGUUGGUGAGUGAGCGCCCCUUCACGCUGGCUCCCGAGUGCUGACGUGUCCCCGUCCUUCUCUGCACUUUUCCUUACCUCCUGGCCUCAGAUAUUCCAGGGUCAUUUGUUCUCUCCCUGCUCCAACCCUGCAGUCAGCCAUCUCCCUAGGGACGUUGGUUCCUUUAUGGAAGGUGGCAUUUAGAAGCCAGGAUUUGGGCUGAGCACUGUGGCUCAUGCUUGUAAUCCCAGCACUUGGGGAGGCCGAAGUGGGCGGAUCGCUGGAGGCCAAGAGUCUGAGACCAGCCUGGCUAACAUGGUGAAACCCUUCCCCGUCUCUACUACAAAUAAAAAAUUAGCUGGGUGUGUUGGCACGUGCCUGUAAUCCCAGUUACUCAGGAGGCUGAAGCACCAGAAUCUCUUGAACCCAGGAGGCCGAGGUUGCAGUGAGCCAAGAUUGCACCACUGCACUACAGCUUGGGUGACAGCGCGAGACACCGUCUCAAAAAGGAUAAUAAUUUAAAAAACAGCAGGAUUUGGGUGAGCAGUGCGCUCAUUGCUUCUGGGCUCUCUCGGUGGACAUAGGCUAGGAAUGUAAGAUGUAUGUGCCUGUGUAUAUACACACGUCUGUAGCUAUGUCUAUGUUGCAUACAUGUGUUUUUCCAAAAACCAAAUCCAUAACCAUGCCUUCAGUUUCAGCCCAACACCUCCGGGCUCUUUCUAGCUUUCUACCUUUCAUGAUUGUGAAUACCUUCUCCAGCAGUGAGAAACCUGGCUCCUUUGUCCUCAGUGGAUUUUCUUAUUUGCUCAAUUUUUUUGUUUUUUGUUUUGUUUUUGUUUUUGAGACAGAGUCUUGUUCUGUCACCCAAGCUGGAGUGCAGUGGCAUAAUCUCGGCUUACCGCAACCUCUGCCUCCUGG